rnacentral:misc_RNA from 1 species
AAACCAAAUGGACCCCGUUCCGGGAUCCGUGCUGGGCCUCGUCCGUUUCAGGGACGUCGCCUCGAACCCAUUGGGCCCAUCGGGCGGACGAGAUCCCUUCGGGACUGACCGUCCGUGGGCGCCGUCGUGCAUCGUGAACG